UCUCCGUUGGUGAACCAGCGGAGGGAUCAUUACAGAGUUAUCAAAACUCCCAAACCCAUGUGAACAUACCUCGCGUUGCCUCGGCAGGUGGCGUCUCGCCCCGUAAGAACCUACCCUGUAGGACCUUACCCGGUAGACGACCCUGCCGACGGCCCCCGAAACUCUGUUUUAUAGCAUUAAACUUCUGAAAAUAUAACUAAAUAAGUUAAAACUUUCAACAACGGAUCUCUUGGUUCUGGUAUCGAUGAAGAACGCAGC
rnacentral:misc_RNA from 1 species